rnacentral:ncRNA from 1 species
UCCCCUCGCCGCGCCGGGGCAAUGGUGCGGCACCCUCCCUGUUGGACUGGGCCGGGGCCUCGUGCCCCGGCCAUUUUC